UACGUAGGGGGCAAGCGUUGUCCGGAAUCAUUGGGCGUAAAGCGCGCGUAGGCGGCCCCGGUAAGUCCGCUCUGAAAGUCCAGGGCUCAACCCUGGAAAGCGGGUGGAUACUGCCGGGCUAGAAUCCGGAAGAGGCGAGUGGAAUUCCUGGUGUAGCGGUGGAAUGCGCAGAUAUCAGGAGGAACACCAAUAGCGAAGGCAGCUCGCUGGGACGGUAUUGACGCUAAGGCGCGAAAGCGUGGGGAGCAAACAGG
rnacentral:rRNA from 1 species